AACAUCAGGUCAGUAGUUCUAUAAUAUACAGUAGUGUUCUGUUCACUACAUCUACUAGCUAACAACAUCAGGUCAGUAGUUCUAUAAUAUACAGUAGUGUUCUGUUACCUACAUCUACUAGCUAACAACAUCAGGUCAGUAGUUCUAUAAUAUACAGUAGUGUUCUGUUACCUACAUCUACUAGCUAACAACAUCAGGUCAGUAGUUCUAUAAUAUACAGUAGUGUUCUGUUACCUACAUCUACUAGCUAACAACAUCAGGUCAGUAGUUCUAUAAUAUACAGUAGUGUUCUGUUCACUACAUCUACUAGCUAACAACAUCAGGUCAGUAGUUCUAUAAUAUACAGUAGUGUUCUGUUACCUACAUCUAACAACAUCAGGUCAGUAGUUCUAUAAUAUACAGUAGUGUUCUGUUACCUACAUCUACUAGCUAACAACAUCAGGUCAGUAGUUCUAUAAUAUACAGUAGUGUUCUGUUACCUACAUCUACUAGCUAACAACAUCAGGUCAGUAGUUCUAUAAUAUACAGUAGUGUUCUGUUACCUACAUCUACUAGCUAACAACAUCAGGUCAGUAGUUCUAUAAUAUACAGUAGUGUUCUGUUACCUACAUCUACUAGCUAACAACAUCAGGUCAGUAGUUCUAUAAUAUACAGUAGUGUUCUGUUCACUACAUCUACUAGCUAACAACAUCAGGUCAGUAGUUCUAUAAUAUACAGUAGUGUUCUGUUCACUACAUCUACUAGCUAACAACAUCAGGUCAGUAGUUCUAUAAUAUACAGUAGUGUUCUGUUACCUACAUCUAACAACAUCAGGUCAGUAGUUCUAUAAUAUACAGUAGUGUUCUGUUACCUACAUCUAACAACAUCAGGUCAGUAGUUCUAUAAUAUACAGUAGUGUUCUGUUACCUACAUCUACUAGCUAACAACAUCAGGUCAGUAGUUCUAUAAUAUACAGUAGUGUUCUGUUACCUACAUCUACUAGCUAACAACAUCAGGUCAGUAGUUCUAUAAUAUACAGUAGUGUUCUGUUACCUACAUCUACUAGCUAACAACAUCAGGUCAGUAGUUCUAUAAUAUACAGUAGUGUUCUGUUACCUACAUCUACUAGCUAACAACAUCAGGUCAGUAGUUCUAUAAUAUACAGUAGUGUUCUGUUCACUACAUCUACUAGCUAACAACAUCAGGUCAGUAGUUCUAUAAUAUACAGUAGUGUUCUGUUCACUACAUCUACUAGCUAACAACAUCAGGUCAGUAGUUCUAUAAUAUACAGUAGUGUUCUGUUCACUACAUCUACUAGCUAACAACAUCAGGUCAGUAGUUCUAUAAUAUACAGUAGUGUUCUGUUCACUACAUCUACUAGCUAACAACAUCAGGUCAGUAGUUCUAUAAUAUACAGUAGUGUUCUGUUCACUACAUCUACUAGCUAACAACAUCAGGUCAGUAGUUCUAUAAUAUACAGUAGUGUUCUGUUCACUACAUCUACUAGCUAACAACAUCAGGUCAGUAGUUCUAUAAUAUACAGUAGUGUUCUGUUCACUACAUCUACUAGCUAACAACAUCAGGUCAGUAGUUCUAUAAUAUACAGUAGUGUUCUGUUCACUACAUCUACUAGCUAACAACAUCAGGUCAGUAGUUCUAUAAUAUACAGUAGUGUUCUGUUACCUACAUCUAACAACCUCUCUGCAUCACUCCCCCAAUCAGGCCAUUAUGGUAGAGUGGCCAGAUGGAAGCCACUCCUCAGUAAAGGGCACAUGACAGCCCGCUUGGAGUUUGCCAAAAGGCACCUAAAGAC